UGUGUGUAUGGGUGACUAACUGUAACUGUAUAUGUGUGUGUGUGUGAGUAUGUGCACACAUAUAAUGGUAACCAAGGCCAAAGAUGGAACAAAAAAACCCAAAGAAAUCGUUUUGUCUUUGCACUUGUGCAAAUCUCCAGCGACUAGUGUGAAGAUGCUCUUGCUGCCGCUGCUGCUGCUGCGUCGCUUGGCAACAACUGAAGUUUCAACUGAAACGGUUUAUGCGCGCUUUGCAUUCACUGGCACUCACAAAUAAAACUGGCAGCAAAGACGGCGGUGACGGCGAC